UAUUACUAAUAUAGAUCUAAUUCCAAACGAUUCGUAAGCACUAAGCAGGAUAUCAUAUUCAUACCGCACUGAAAUAAAAAAUUACGGAUUUGUAUUAAUUUUUUUAAAUUAUGAAGCGGCAAUCAUUUCAAACGUACGUCUCUCAAAUAGCGAAACUCUUCGAAAAAUUUGUUGAUCCUUUGGCGAGAGACGUCUCUUUGAUUUAUUUUCCGAGUAUUAUUCGCUGAUGGAGCCGCCGCAAAUCUGCACUUCGGGAACGGGCAGUAAAAUCGCACAUCGUAGUCCAAAUCGCCGCAGUUAACGCUGGACGCCUGGAAUUUCUCCUGAUGACCAGCCUAAACAGAAAACUUUUUUUCCAAACCAUUAUGUUACUAUUUAGGUGAAUCAGUAUUCCACCUGAAAGUGGCACUCGGCGCUAGAAAACCCAUGAUGCAGUAGCGCGUGCACCCUGGAAAUUUCGUAGGUCGGGAAGAUUUUCUCGCACAGCGAGCAUCUUGAAGAAGGUGCAUUGGUUUGUGCGUGUCUGGCGCUAUGGCCGUCGCCAUUGCACAUGGCCAAUUUGUCACCAGAGAUCACCGCAAAGAAGAGUAAUCAUGAGAUGCGUGACUGACGGCCGUGACGGGA